UGUUCUACAAGCUCGCGCUCUGGGAUGGGUCUGCGUCCCAUCAGCUAGUUGGUGAGGUAAUGGCUCACCAAGGCAUCGACGGGUAGCUGGUCUGAGAGGAUGACCAGCCACACUGGAACUGAGACACGGUCCAGACUCCUACGGGAGGCAGCAGUGGGGAAUCUUGCGCAAUGGGCGAAAGCCUGACGCAGCGACGCCGCGUGGGUGAUGAAGGCCUUCGGGUUGUAAAGCCCUGUGGGGAGGAACGAACCGUACGGGGGCGAACACCCUCCGUACCUGACGGUACCUCCUUAGCAAGCAUCGGCUAACUCUGUG
rnacentral:rRNA from 1 species